rnacentral:rRNA from 1 species
GACGAACGCUGGCGGCGUGCUUAACACAUGCAAGUCGAACGGAAAGGCCCUGCUUUUGUGGGGUUCUCGAGUGGCGAACGGGUGCGUAACACGUGAGUAACCUGCCCUUGACUUUGGGAUAACUUCAGGAAACUGGGGCUACUACCGGAUAGGAGCUCCUGCUGCAUGGUGGGCGUUGGAUAGUUUCGGCGGUUGGGGAUGGACUCGCGGCUUAUCAGCUUGUUGGUGGGGUAGUGGCUUACCAAGGCUUUGACGGGUAGCCGGCCUGAGAGGGUGACCGGCGACAUGAGGACUGAGAUACGGCCCAGACGCCUACGGGAGGCAGCAGGGGGGAAUAUUGCACAAUGGGCGGAAGCCUGAUGCAGCAACGCCGCGGGCGGGAUGACGGCCUGCGGGUUGUGAACCGCUUUCGCCUGUGACGAAGCGUGAGUGACGGUAAUGGGUAAAGAAGCACCGGCUAACUACGUG